GAGAAAAUAGGGCUGUUGUGAGCUGUGGGGAGCCCAGGAGAGCUGCUGCCCACCCCCCGCCACCUCCGUGCGUUCUGGGCAGUCCUUGACCCCCCACAAGUCUUGCCAUCUCCAGGAGCCCCGCCUGGAUGUCAAGCGGAUGCCACAGGGCCCCCCCCAGCGGACUCCGUGGGGACAUGGCUUCGCUGGUGCCCCUUUCCCCAUAUCUAAGCCCCACGGUCCUUCUGCUGGUCAGCUGUGACCUGGGCUUCGUGCGAGCAGGUAAGUAAAGGGGAACGGGGCUGAGGAUCAACCACAGCUAGUAAAUGGGUGAAACCUGUUAAACACCCUGGCUCCCGCAGACCGGCCUCCCUCUCCUGUGAAUGUGACGGUCACUCACCUCAGAGCCAACUCGGCCACUGUGUCCUGGGACGUCCCAGAAGGCAACAUCGUCAUUGGCUACUCCAUUUCCCAGCAACGGCAGAAUGGCCCCGGGCAGCGUGUGAUUCGGGAGGUGAACACCACCACCCGGGCCUGUGCCCUCUGGGGCCUGGCUGAAGACAGUGACUACACAGUGCAGGUCAGGAGCAUCGGCCUUCGGGGAGAGAGUCCCCCAGGGCCUCGGGUGCACUUCCGAACUCUCAAGGGUUCUGACCGGCUACCUUCAAACAGCUCAAGCCCAGGUGACAUCACAGUGGAAGGUCUGGAUGGAGAGCGGCCACUGCAGACUGGGGAAGUGGUCAUCAUUGUGGUGGUGUUGCUCAUGUGGGCUGCUGUAAUUGGGCUGUUCUGCCGUCAGUAUGACAUCAUCAAGGACAAUGACUCCAACAACAAUCCCAAGGAGAAGGGAA
rnacentral:sRNA from 1 species